AGGGAGUCCCUCCCUCUAAAAGCACUCUGUGUGGGGAACAUGAGAGCCAGACCAAAGCUCAGAGGGAGAAACGAGGAACUAAACGCAAACCUGAACCUGAACCCAGCUGUGUGUCCUUAAAGAGUGACUGGUCCAAUGAUCGUGCCAUUUAUUUUAAAGUCCAGCCUGUGUCUGCUGCAGAGAGACAGUGCAUUUCCUCAUACUGGGACCAGUCUGCUUCAUCAGGAGACUCCUCCUGUCCCCAGUGUGGAGAAAGAUCCAGAACCAGAGCUGGACUGCAGACAGCCAGUCAGAGCAGCUGUGUACAAAAUGUUGGUCUGCAGGAGGUUUUAGAUGAAC